GGUCGUGUGGCCCAGAGGUUAAGGCAUCGCCUUUACAUCCAUUCGAAUGGAUACGGCGAGGAUCGCAGGUUCGAUCCCUGCCACGAUCA